GCGCAGCAGUCGCGAAUACUCCGCAAUGCCCGAAAGGGUGACGGGGGGAUUCCAAGUGCCUACGCUUAGCGUAGGCUGUUCAGGUGCCUAAAAAGCACCUGGAGGAAGGGCUGGGUAAGACGGGUGCCAGCCGCCGCGGUAAUACCCGCAGCCCGAGUGGUAGUCGCUUUUAUUGGGCCUAAAGCGUCCGUAGCCGGUCUGGUAAAUGCCUGGGUAAAUCGUGGGGCUUAACCUCACGAAUUCCGGGUAGACUGCCAGACUUGGGACCGGUUGAGGGAGAGGGUACUCCAGGGGUAGGGGUGAAAUCAGCAAGGUAAGCUGAUGUAACUUGCCUUGCAAGUCACAAUCCUGUAAUCCUUGGAGGACCACCGGUGGCGAAAGCGCUCUCCUAGGACGGUCCGACGGUGAGGGACGAAAGCCAGGGGAGCAAACCGGAUUAGAUACCCCGGUAGU
rnacentral:rRNA from 1 species